ACUCAGAUGAGCCCAGAGAAAACUGAAGAAGAGAGAGCCGGUCUUUAGUGGGCUCAGGCUGGGACCAUUGGCUCAGACAGGCCUCUCAGGACUUCAUAUCUCUGCACCGUCGCCUGUGCCUUUAGAUUUCAUCACUCUACACUAAUUUUCACAGCUGUACUGUAAAAUCCAUAGGAAACUCUCAGAAGCUACUGAAAAGAACCUACUAUAUAACCAAUAAGUGAUUAAGUGAAUCUUGUAAGCCAUAGAGACUCCCACAGUAACCAAGCACUGGACCA
rnacentral:lncRNA from 1 species